GUCCACGCCGUAAACGAUGGGCACUAGGCGUCGGGGGGAGCGACCCUCCCGGUGCCGUCGCUAACGCUGUAAGUGCCCCGCCUGGGGAGUACGGCCGCAAGGCUGAAACUCAAAGGAAUUGACGGGGGCCCCGCACAAGCGGUGGAGCAUGUGGUUUAAUUCGAAGCAACGCGAAGAACCUUACCUGGGCUUGACAUGCAUGAGUAAGCCGGUGGAAACACCGGGCCUCCUUCGGGACUCUUGCACAGGUGCUGCAUGGCUGUCGU
rnacentral:rRNA from 1 species